rnacentral:rRNA from 1 species
UACGUAGGCAGCAAGCGUUGUUCGGAGUUACUGGGCGUAAAGGGUGUGUAGGCGGUUGUUUAAGUUUGGUGUGAAAUCUCCCGGCUCAACUGGGAGGGUGCGCCGAAUACUGAAUGACUAGAGUGCGGGAGAGGAAAGUGGAAUUCCUGGUGUAGCGGUGAAAUGCGUAGAUAUCGGAAGGAACACCAGUGGCGAAAGCGGCUUCCUGGUCCGACACCGACGUUCAGGCACGAAAGCGUGGGGAGCAAACAGG